GAUGUGACAUAUUUUCCCUGAAUAGUGCCAAAGAGGUUGUGAAACUUUUUAAAGAAGAAUUUUGGCAAGAACAGAAGUUAGAAAACCAAGAGGAAGAUGAGGAACAUUGGUCAGAUUUUGGUAGGACCCCACCUAUGCGGUCAUUGCUAAUUAUUAGCAUGGUUCCAAUGCUUUUGAACUGCUUCUAAAGCUCUUGUUGAAUUUAUCCAGAUAUUCUUGAUGACGUGGUGUUUGUGUCUGUGUACAGACACCGUGAUCUUAUGCUGGAUCUGGAGUCUGUUAUAUAGAACUCACUUCAAACACAACAACAGUCACACAGAAUGAUAUCACCGUGCUGCUGUUCUAUUUAAAAUGUUAGUUUACCUAUUAUAUUACUGUAUUUUAUCAUGCACAAGACAAAUCUACCCUGAUACAUCCACUUUUGUCCUCUAGGGGAUGCUGUCUGUAUGGCUUUCGUUCAGUCAUAUAUAGAGGUGGCAGAUGCUCUUGAAGGGUUUCUUUGUUUUAGAGGUCUGUCACCUGUUGGGAGGACUGAUCUGGAGAAGCAUCUUGGCUUUGUACCUCCACUUCCUGUUUUGGUGAUGUCACGGUUAAAAACUGGAGGAGAGGUGUUCCUUUUCCCCCCAGAGCGCCCCCUAAUGGCUAAGAACAGUCCCGGCAGCUUUUAAUUAGAGGAUUUACAACAAUUUGGUUUCAGUUUUCAGCCCUACCCAGGUGCACUGAAGUGAAUGAAGUAAAACGCAAUCAAGUUUUUGUGCCAAGACAGUAAAUAUACUUAACAUUUCUGGACAGAUAAAUUGAAAUACAGCGCAAAAUGUUCGGCUUGUUGAAUUGCGUUCAGAGUGCAGUUUUGACCUCAGUGUAUGGGUAAUGUAUAUUGAAAUGUCAGAAAUGUUUAAAAAUCAUACCACUGUAAUUGAAAAAAAAAAUUAUAUUGCUACAUAUAUUGAUAUCUGAUAUAAGAAUUAUUGUCCAGCCCUAAUUUGAAGACAUCAGAUAUGUCCUUGUAAUUGCCUACAGUUCCAGGAAUCGGUCAUCCCAUGCCCCUGCCAUGACAAAGCUGGCACAAAGUACUUCGACACUCACCAGUAUUUAUGAGAUCACAAAAUAUGCAUUCAGAACCUCAUCAACACUUUUGCCCUAAUACAAUCACUAUUGUUGCCUGUGGUUAAAAAAACACACAAAAAAAUGUAUACCCACUUCUCAGCAUCUGCUCCAUCUGCUUCCUGUGAAGCUCAGAGGAAAUUGUAUCCCUUAAUUGUGUCUGAUUGUUACAAGUUAUUUCCCUGAAACCUUCUGCUGGACUUCUGGGGCCUGGGGCCUUUUUUGGCAGCUUUUUGUGCUUCCGAAAAAUCGGUUAAAAUGUGUUUUAUGAGGAUGGAUGAAGCACUUUAUCCAUCGCAAGAUAUUUAUUAAAUUUCAUAUGCCAGUGAGAUGCAGAACAAAUACAAUUGUAUACACAUCAUCUGAAUUUUAUCCAUGAAGCGUUAGUGUAAUUAUAAUGAAAUGUCCUUUGUAUUGCUGUUAAAAGAGCUGUAGUAUAUGUGCCUUUUUUGCGACUCUUGGUACUAGGAAAACACAAUAGUUGUUUCCUUUCUGCUGUAUGGCCUCAUGGAUUUUAUUAGGCAGUGUAUGUAUUGUAUUGUCUCAUGUCUGACUAUAAUGUUAGUGUUUAAGCUAUUUUUUUAGACCUGUAUGUGUAAUGGGGCGGUAAGUGUAAUCGUUCCCAUUACACAUUCAUGGGUUUGUCCUUCUCUAUUCUGUGUGAUCAGUGGAUGUAUUCAGUCUCUAAACACAAGAAAGAUUCUGCUUUUAAUUUCACAUGGAAACUUUGCAUAAAGAGUGGCUAUGUCCCUCUGUGUUAUAACCACAUUUGUGACUCUGGACCACAAAAACAGUCAUAAGGCCUAAUCUUAAUCCGAUCUGAAUCAAACUAAUCCUAAUAAUAUUCUUAAUUUUGCAGUGUUUGAAGAUCAACUGAAGUAUGAUCUAUUUUUAUUGAUAUUAAUUGUGGGCAUUAUUGAGUUCUCAGACAAGUUAGUGUGACUUUCAACUUUGGAGUAGGCCCGGUAGGCUUGGGCCUUCAACAAACACAUCACUUGAACCUCUCCCUGCUCUAUUUCCGG
ensembl:lncRNA